AGUGAACGCUGGCGGUAGGCCUAACACAUGCAAGUCGAACGGCAGCACAGUAAGAGCUUGCUCUUACGGGUGGCGAGUGGCGGACGGGUGAGGAAUACAUCGGAAUCUACUUUUUCGUGGGGGAUAACGUAGGGAAACUUACGCUAAUACCGCAUACGACCUACGGGUGAAAGCAGGGGAUCUUCGGACCUUGCGCGAUUGAAUGAGCCGAUGUCGGAUUAGCUAGUUGGCGGGGUAAAGGCCCACCAAGGCGACGAUCCGUAGCUGGUCUGAGAGGAUGAUCAGCCACAGUGGAACUGAGACACGGCCCAGACUCCUACGGGCGGCAGCAGUGGGGAAGAGUGGACAGUGGGCGCAAGCCUGAUCCAGCCAUACCGCGUGGGUGAAGAAGGCCUUCGGGUUGUAAAGCCCUUUUGUUGGGAAAGAAAAGCAGCAGGUUAAUACCCCGCUGUUCGGACGGUACCCAAAGAAUAAGCACCGGCUACCUUCGU
rnacentral:rRNA from 1 species